rnacentral:rRNA from 1 species
GGAAUAUUGGGCAAUGGGCGAAAGCCUGACCCAGCGACGCCGCGUGAAGGAAGAAGGUCCUCGGAUUGUAAACUUUAGUACUCAGGGACGAGCAAAGACGGUACCUGAGGUUAAGCCACGGCUAACUACGUGCCAGCAGCCGCGGUAAUACGUAGGUGGCAAGCGUUAUCCGGAAUUACUGGGUGUAAAGGGUGUGUAGGCGGGGAUGCAAGUCAGAUGUGAAAAUUAUGGGCUCAACCCAUAACCUGCAUUUGAAACUGUAUUUCUUGAGAGUCGGAGAGGUAAACGGAAUUCCCAGUGUAGCGGUGAAAUGCGUAGAUAUUGGGAGGAACACCAGUGGCGAAGGCGGUUUACUGGACGACAACUGACGCUGAGACACGAAAGCGUGGGGAGCAAACA